rnacentral:rRNA from 1 species
GACGACGCUGGGCGGCGUGGAUUAGGCAUGCAAGUCGAACGGUAUCAUCCUUUCGGGGGUGAGAGAGUGGCGAACUGGUGAGUAGCACGUAGGUUAUCUACCCUCAAGACGGGGACAAACCCAGGGAAACUUGGGCUAAUACCGGAUGUGAGCAACUUUUAGUUGUUUGAAAGGUGGCGUAAGCUGUCGCUUGGGGAUGAGCCUGCGUCCUAUUAGUUAGUUGGUGAGGUAACGGCUCACCUAGGCAAUGAUAGGUAGGCGGCCUUAACGGGUGGUCGCCCACACUGGGAUUGAGAUACGGCCCAGACUCCUACGGGAGGCAGCAGUCGAGAAUAGUCUACAAUGGUCGGAAGACUGAUAGUGCGACGCCGCGUGAACGAUGAAUCCCUUCGGGGUGUAAAGUUCUUUUAUAUGUGAGCAGUGCUUCUUAUAUUAACAGUAUGGGGAGAGAGAUAUUAGCAUAUGAAUAAGCAACGGCUAACUCCGUG